GAAAAAAUAACCUGGAGGGGAAUAUGUAUUUUUGAGUCAUGUUUCUACCAGAGGCCAAGUUCUUGAGCAGAGCCACUUCCACUCCUGCUUGUGUCAGAUCUUCAGCACUGCUCGCUGGGUGACUUGGUUUGUUUGAUACCACCAGCUGGCUUGARAAGGCUUUAUCCAUCCAUGGGGAACAGUUGGCAUUGAUGAAGAGAAGRAUGACAGUAGAAGAAAGAAACUGCUACACGAUGACAUGUUGCUCUAUUCCCUUCAAGAAAUAUGCAUCAAAUUAAGUUGAAAAUAGAUUUGUUCUAUAUUGCUUUAUUUAAAUGUUGAAAUACRUAUUGUGACAAAAAUACAUCACAGAAAUAAGAAUAGGGAGCUUUCCAUGCACUGGAUAUUUUUUCUGGGAUUACAAAAUGGUUCUAUUUUUAAGAAACAAAGUGUUUUAUGUCCUAAGAAAAAUGUCCUAUCAUGAGAUAAUGUUUUAUACUUUUUUAACUGUUUUUUUUAAACAAAGUCUUCUGAUUCUGAUGAAAUCUACCCUGUUUCUUUGCUUAAUUUUGCUGAACAUUAUUAAGUCGACAGAACGAAUGCGGUCACUUAAUAAAAAGAUCUGCAUAUUUGAAUGUUCUGUCUCUGUUAAAGUAUCUGCUACAGUGCUGUAAAAGCAUUUACUUUAAUUGUACAUUUUUUACUUGCUUUCUAAACUGCAUUUGAGAAAUGGAAGGUAAUGUAUUUCUGCAGCCAAAAYAUUUUACCU